GCCCUUGUAGUUCAACGGAUAGAACGGAAGUUUCCUAAACUUUAAAUGGCAGUUCGAUUCUGCCCGGGGGUACAA
rnacentral:tRNA from 4 species